rnacentral:rRNA from 1 species
AUUGAACGCUGGCGGCAGGCCUAACACAUGCCAGUCGAGCGGAUGAAGGGAGCUUGCUCCUGGAUUCAGCGGCGGACGGGUGAGUAAUGCCUAGGAAUCUGCCUGGUAGUGGGGGAUAACGUCCGGAAACGGGCGCUAAUACCGCAUACGUCCUGAGGGAGAAAGUGGGGGAUCUUCGGACCUCACGCUAUCAGAUGAGCCUAGGUCGGAUUAGCUAGUUGGUGGGGUAAAGGCCUACCAAGGCGACGAUCCGUAACUGGUCUGAGAGGAUGAUCAGUCACACUGAAACUGAGACACGGUCCAGACUCCUACGGGAGGCAGCAGUGGGGAAUAUUGGACAAUGGGCGAAAGCCUGAUCCAGCCAUGCCGCGUGUGUGAAGAAGGUCUUCGGAUUGUAAAGCACUUUAAGUUGGGAGGAAGGGCAGUAAGUUAAUACCUUGCUGUUUUGACGUUACCAACAGAAUAAGCACCGGCUAACUUCGUG